rnacentral:rRNA from 1 species
AUUGAACGCUGGCGGCAGGCUUAACACAUGCAAGUCGAGCGGAAACGAUACUAGCUUGCUAGUAGGCGUCGAGCGGCGGACGGGUGAGUAAUACUUAGGAAUCUACCUAGUAGUGGGGGAUAGCACGGGGAAACUCGUAUUAAUACCGCAUACGACCUACGGGAGAAAGGGGGCAACUUGUUGCUCUCGCUAUUAGAUGAGCCUAAGUCGGAUUAGCUAGAUGGUGGGGUAAAGGCUUACCAUGGCGACGAUCUGUAGCUGGUCUGAGAGGAUGAUCAGCCACACCGGGACUGAGACACGGCCCGGACUCCUACGGGAGGCAGCAGUGGGGAAUAUUGGACAAUGGGGGCAACCCUGAUCCAGCCAUGCCGCGUGUGUGAAGAAGGCCUUUUGGUUGUAAAGCACUUUAAGCAGUGAAGAAGACCAUAUGGUUAAUACCCAUAUGCGAUGACAUUAGCUGCAGAAUAAGCACCGGCUAACUCUGUGCCAGCAGCCGCGGUAAUACAGAGGGUGCAAGCGUUAAUCGGAAUUACUGGGCGUAAAGGGAGCGUAGGUGGCUCGAUAAGUCAGAUGUGAAAUCCCCGGGCUCAACCUGGGAACUGCAUCUGAAACUGUCGUGCUAGAGUAUGUGAGAGGAAGGUAGAAUUCCAGGUGUAGCGGUGAAAUGCGUAGAGAUCUGGAGGAAUACCGAUGGCGAAGGCAGCCUUCUGGCAUAAUACCGACACUGAGGCUCGAAAGCGUGGGUAGCAAACAGG